CCUUAUCCUUUGUUGCCAGCGGUUAGGCCGGGAACUCAAAGGAGACUGCCAGUGAUAAACUGGAGGAAGGUGGGGAUGACGUCAAGUCAUCAUGGCCCUUACGAGUAGGGCUACACACGUGCUACAAUGGCGCAUACAAAGAGAAGCGACCUCGCGAGAGCAAGCGGACCUCAUAAAGUGCGUCGUAGUCCGGAUUGGAGUCUGCAACUCGACUCCAUGAAGUCGGAAUCGCUAGUAACCGUGGAUCAGAAUGCCACGGUGAAUACGUUCCCGGGCCUUGUACACACCGCCCGUCACACCAUGGGAGUGGGUUGCAAAAGAAGUAGGUAGCUUAACUUCGGGAGGGCGCUUACCACUUUGUGAUUCAUGACUGGGGUGAAGUCGUAACAAGGUAACCGUAGGGGACUGCGGUGGAUCACCUCCUU
rnacentral:rRNA from 1 species